rnacentral:rRNA from 1 species
CCUACGGGAGGCAGCAGUGGGGGAUAUUGGACAAUGGGGGAAACCCUGAUCCAGCGACGCCGCGUGAGUGAAGAAGUAUUUCGGUAUGUAAAGCUCUGUCAGCAGGGAAGAAAGAAAUGACGGUACCUGACCAAGAAGCCCCGGCUAACUACGUGCCAGCAGCCACGGUAAUACGUCGGGGGCAGGCGUUAUCCGGAAUCACUGGGUGUAAAGGGAGCUUAGACGGUGAUGCAAGUCUGGAGUGAAAGGCGGGGGCCCAACCCCCGGACUGCUCUGGACACUGGGUAUCUUGAGUGCAGGAGAGGUAAGCGGAAUUCCUAGUGUAGCGGUGAAAUGCGUAGAUAUUAGGAGGAACACCAGUGGCGAAGGCGGCUUACUGGACUGUAACUGACGUUGAGGCUCGAAAGCGUGGGGAGCGAACAGGAUUAGAUACCCGGGUAGUC